AGGACGAACGCUGGCGGCGCGCUUAACACAUGCAAGUCGAGCGAGAACCAUUCCUUCGGGAAUGGGGACAGCGGCGAACGGGUGAGUAGCACGUGGGUAAUCUGCCCUCGAUUCUGGGAUAGCCCGGGGAAACCCGGAUUAAUACCGGAUAGCCUCUCGAGCUUACGAGCUCUUGAGAAAAGGUAGCUUCGGCCUCCGAUCGAGGAUGAGCCCGCGGCGGAUUAGCUUGUUGGUGGGGUAAUGGCCUACCAAGGCAACGAUCCGUAGCUGGUCUGAGAGGACGAUCAGCCACACUGGGACUGAGACACGGCCCAGACUCCUACGGGAGGCAGCAGUGGGGAAUCUUGCGCAAUGGGCGAAAGCCUGACGCAGCGACGCCGCGUGGGGGAAGAAGGCCUUCGGGUUGUAAACCUCUUUCUAGCAGGACGAAGCCACUCGGUUAAUAGCCUAGAGGGUGACGGUACCUGCAGAAGAAGCCCCGGACUAACUACGUGCCAGCAGCCGCGUAA
rnacentral:rRNA from 1 species